UUGACCAUGCAUGCGGACAUCUAUAUUUUCAAAAUGAAAUGUAUAAUAAUUGUUCUAUCUAGAUUGCAAACACAAACUAUUUCUCAAUGUCAGUCAACAACUUAUCAAGGCAAGUAUGCAUGUUAUGGAGUACAUUUCACUUGCUUUCCAUCUGUGAAAUUGAACGCCUCCCCGCAGUUGCUAUGACAACGGAGAACGCUCCCCUCGCAUUCCCUCUUGCCUCCCCUCUGGUUCCCGGGCAACAUGUAACACAAGUUCAGUUGUACACCCAAAUCCGGAAAGACCUUUGUCGCUCUCUUGUUCGUGUGCAUGGAACCAUUCUUUCAGGAACACAACAAGUGCUAAGUUUUAUAAACUUAACGGAGUUCAGUUGCAACACCUACAAAUACGGACUCUUCCUUUUAUAAAUUAAAAACUACCCUCCGAUUGAACUGCAAGUGGAAAACAGAAUGAAAAACAUUUUUGUAACGCAAUUUGAGUAAACUAGAGAUGAAAAUGCCAAUCACACACCUGUUAUAAGAGGCCGCUAGCAGAGUCCUGGAGACAGGAAUGAACUCAUUACAGAGGACCUCCACCUGCUUGAAGAAGCAGGUGGAGGUGGAUGAAGUGGAUUGUCAGCUGGCACAGAAACAGCAGGAAUUCAAAGCCCUUGCACAGAGGAGGGCAGGGCUAUAGCUGAAACAGUAGGCGGUUUAUGAUCUCAACUAUGCUGGCGGGCCCUGAAAAAGUACCAGGCAGCGAGGAAGCGAGGAAACGAUCUGAAACAGAAAGAGGAGCUCACUGAAAAGCUGGAGAGACAUUGGACAUAUCAUUCUCACCUGAAAUCUUGGACCCUCUUUUACCUGACAUAUUUCCCCCCAACCCCUACAGGCAGCAGUAUUUAAGAUCACCUGGAGUAAGGGGCAGACUCCCUGGUGAUGACCAUCAUCCAUCGCCUUGAGACCUUGUCCCUCACCCAUCAGGAUCUGGUGGAGCACCUGGGCCAGCUGGUGGAGGAGCUGGAGCAGCGCCAGCAUAGCCUGGCCAGUCUGAAGCAGGAGCACAACACCAACAAGCUGAUGAGAUGAGGAACAAGGAGCUGUCUGAACUGUUUACCCAGUGGGAUAGAGCCAAGGAGAAAAACAAACAGACUGAGAUUAACCCGAUGAUGCACCAAGGCCAGUCCCGAGACCAGGUUGAAGAAGUGGGUAGCUUGCUUAUAGCUGUGAAAAACCUUGCAGAACAGUGCUACUUACAUGGACAUGCUGACAAUGAUGGAUAUGGUAAAGGUAAUGUCUAAUUGCAUUGUUAUGUAUUAGUAAUUACCUUGACCGAGAUCCCAUUUGUUCUCAUUUAUAAAGUAUACUUUAUUUAGAAUGUAUUAUUAUCCAUGAUUUCUUCCAAAAUAAAGAUUUUGUAUAGUUUAAUCAUAUUAUAUUUCCCAAAGCAAGAUUGCAACUA